UUAAUUUUGUCGAGCAGCGUAUGACUCUUUUAUGCAUUUUCUUUUGUCGAGCAGCGUAUGGCAAACUUUCAUCAAGGAAGAUACGUCCCGUGAAUGGACACCGAAGCUGCGAUGGCGUGCGAAAGUAAGUAGUACUACCUAGGUCCACACACCUUUUAAUUAUCAUACUUGACUAUUGUUUGAUUGAAUUAUAUUCUUGUAAAGAAAUGCCCGCAACAACCUCCGGGGACCGAUCUCUGUGGAUUCUUCGUUUGCGAGUACAUCCGCAGAAUUGUCAACGAGAGAACGAAUAAUGAAAGAAAUAAAGAGUUGGCAAGAAAGCGGAACAAGCUCUCAAUCGAUGACCGCUUCAUAGCAAUAGGCGAGGAAUUGGCGGGAUUUUUCCUUCGGGACGUCAUACCACAACUCGCAGAGCACCACUAUGAAUGAAGAUGUACAUGUUACAUAUAUAGUUGACUCGAAGAGUACCACUAUGCUACAUGUAAUAGACAUAUAUAGAGUACGCCUCGGAGAGCACCACUAUGCAUGAAGAUCGAUCUUCAUGCAUAGUGCUACUUAAUUUGCGAUCUCAUGCAAUAACAUGUGUGUUAUAUUA